UUGCAGCCACAGCACUGGGGUUGUUAGUGUGAGACAUCAACCCAGGAAGUACUGGUGUUUUCUCCCUGUCCCAGGGCUCAAGGGACUGGCUGUCAGAUGCAGGGCUGGAUGAGUGUGGACACAAUCAAAGAGCUAAUGGAGUUAGAGUUUUAGCCUCAGGCCCAGGGACAGGAAUAGGGACAGGGAGCAGCAGGUGCAGCCAAGUACUAGAGGAGCAGAGGCUUCCGAGAGAUCAAAUCAGGGUAAAUCUGCUGUUUGUAUCAACGGAAAGUGUUGGACCGACGCUAACACGCCGCACCAGUUGAUCUGUCGCUCUGCAUUAUGAGCACAGAAGAAUGUUGAUGGAGAGCUGAGAAAGACCGGCAUUAAGACCUUAGCUGGGAGGGGAAGAAGGGAGGGAAGGAGAGAGGGAUGAAGGAGGGAUGGCGAAGGGGAGGAGUGACUCUAGACAGAUACUACCUCUGUCCAGGGCUGAUGGAAAUGUCAUGAGGCUAAUUUAAUGGCCUGAGAGUGCACUUCUGCUGCUCUCAGGGGCUGUAUCUGAUGAAAAGAUGAAAAUUACAAUUCCGGGCAACACUUGUGGCUUUCUGGCAACGUGGUAAAGAAUAAUGGGAGUGAUUAAGCAGGAGAAAAUGAAAUGCCCUCGAGACUUACAGAUUCAUCAACAAGCUUCAGGUGAUCAAUACUCUUUAUAAUGUUCUUCCUUAGUGGCCAAUAUCAUUACAGAUCACAACAAAGACAGAGAGCCUUUAUUCAGAGACAUCUUUGGAGGGAAAAUGAGAUGCCAUUUAACUCAAACUGAAGGCAGUGAUUAGGGCACAAAUAGGCAUCGGCACAAUACAACAAUGAUGAUCAUCAAUAACACUCUUGUCGAUUCAGCAAUACAAUGUGAAGAGGUUACAUCUGCCCCUCUCUCCCCAUUCAGCUCUCCUAUCAAUGUUUCUCUGUAACUCACACAGUAUUGGGUCCCAGCACAGAAUUGGGUGUAUACAGUACAAUACCAAGCAGAUGAUUAACCCUGUGCGCCGUAUACUUGCCUAUAGUAUAUAACGCAGUCUGCUGGAAGUCCCUUAAGGCCCUGGAUCCAGUCAGACAUAUUAUCAGAUUGUUCUCCCAGACAGACAGACAGACCAGACAGACCAGACAGACUCUUCCACAUCACAGGCCUCUGCUCCGGUCUGUGUGCACCCAGCUGACAGGUCUGUGUCUCAGUCUUAACUCCCGGGAUCAAUCACCAUGCACACACUUCCUUCCAUCACCAAGGCAACACCCUGUAUUUCCAAGGCAACACCCUACCUUUGUC